UUAAUUUCAACACUUGACCAAAUGGACCUAAUAGACGUUUAUAGAACAAUCUACCAAACAACCACAGAAUACCCAUUCUUCUCAUUUGUGCAUGGAACAUUCUCAAAAAUCAACCAUAUAUGCUUAGUCAUAAAGCAAGUCUCAAUAAAAUCAAAUAAAUCAAAAUCAUAUCAAGUAUCUUCUCAGACCAGAGUGGGAUAAAAUUAGAAAUUAAUUCCAAGAAGAACUCUCAAAACUAUGCAAGUACAUGAAACCUAAACAACUUGCUCCUGAACAACUCUUGGGUAAACAAUGAAAUUAAGGCAGAAAUAAAAAAAAAUUCUUUGAAAUGAAUCUAAACAAAGACACAACAUACUAAAACCUCUGGAACACAACAAAAGUAGUGCUAAGAGCAAAGUUUAUAACAUUAAAUGCCUACAUCAAAAAGAUAGAAAGACCUCAAAUUAACAACCUAAUAUCACAAAUCAGGAAA